AUUGAACGCUGGCGGCAGGCCUAACACAUGCAAGUCGAACGAGUGGCGGACGGGUGAGUAAUGUCUGGGAAACUGCCUGAUGGAGGGGGAUAACUACUGGAAACGGUAGCUAAUACCGCAUACCAUCGGAUGUGCCCCGAUGGGAUUAGCUUGUUGGUGGGGUAAAGGCUCACAAAGGCGACGCUCCCUAGCUGGUCUGAGAGGAUGACCAGCCACACUGGAACUGAGACACGGUCCAGACUCCUACGGUAGGCAUCAGUGGGGAAUAUUGCACAAUGGGCGCAAGCCUGAUGCAGCCAUGCCGCGUGUAUGAAGAAGGCCUUCGGGUUGUAAAGCACUUUCAGCGGGGAGGCGUUACUCGCAGAAGAAGCACCGGCUAACUCCGUGCCAGCAGCCGCGGUAAUUC
rnacentral:rRNA from 1 species